UACGUAGGGUGCAAGCGUUAAUCGGAAUUACUGGGCGUAAAGCGUGCGCAGGCGGUUUCGUAAGUCUGUCGUGAAAUCCCCGGGCUUAACCUGGGAAUGGCAUUGGAAACUGGCGGGCUGGAGUAUGGCAGAGGGGGGUGGAAUUCCACGUGUAGCAGUGAAAUGCGUAGAGAUGUGGAGGAACACCGAUGGCGAAGGCAGCCCCCUGGGCCAAUACUGACGCUCAGGCACGAAAGCGUGGGGAGCAAACAGG
rnacentral:rRNA from 1 species